rnacentral:rRNA from 1 species
GAUGAACGCUGGCGGCGUGCCUAAUACAUGCAAGUCGAGCGAACAGACGAGGAGCUUGCUCCUCUGACGUUAGCGGCGGACGGGUGAGUAACACGUGGAUAACCUACCUAUAAGACUGGGAUAACUUCGGGACACCGGAGCUAAUACCGGAUAAUAUAUUGAACCGCAUGGUUCAAUAGUGAAAGACGGUUUUGCUGUCACUUAUAGAUGGAUCCGCGCCGCAUUAGCUAGUUGGUAAGGUAACGGCUUACCAAGGCAACGAUGCGUAGCCGACCUGAGAGGGGGAUCGGCCACACGGGAACUGAGACACGGUCCAGACUCCUACGGGAGGCAGCAGUAGGGAAUCGGCCGCAAUGGGCGAAAGCCUGACGGAGCAACGCCGCGUGAGUGAUGAAGGUCUUCGGAUCGUAAAACUCUGUUAUUAGGGAAGAACAAAUGUGUAAGUAACUAUGCACGUCUUGACGGUACCGAAUCAGAAAGCCACGGCUAACUACGUG